CAGCAGCCGCGGUAAUACGAAGGGUGCAAGCGUUACUCGGAAUUACUGGGCGUAAAGCGUGCGUAGGUGGUGGUUUAAGUCCGUUGUGAAAGCCCUGGGCUCAACCUGGGAAUUGCAGUGGAUACUGGGUCACUAGAGUGUGGUAGAGGAUAGUGGAAUUUCCGGUGUAGCAGUGAAAUGCGUAGAGAUCGGAAGGAACAUCUGUGGCGAAGGCGACUAUCUGGGCCAACACUGACACUGAGGCACGAAAGCGUGGGGAGCAAACAGGAUUAGAGACCCCCGUAGUCCCUGUCUCUUAUAC
rnacentral:rRNA from 1 species